UGUUCUGUGAGAGAGAACUUAACUUCCAUCUUGUUUGAGGUUUGAGAUGUGACAUCUGGAGUCUCUUUGUUACGACUUAUAAAGCUUGCACUUUAUUAUCAGAGAUGGGAAGGGAAGCAUCAUCCUCUCCAAAGCAAUCUGUAAGGUCAGUUUCAUCAGAAGCAGGAGAAAUGGUCACAUGCUCAUUGCAAUUGUUGCUAUUAUUGGCAUAUGAUCAUGUGCAGAAGCUACAUUCAGGACAAACAUUCACAGCUCCUGCGUAGACUAGACUGUCUGGUUUGAGAUUCCUAACCAGACCUGUGCUUCCAGCUAGCCUGGUGCUAUCUGAUCAUGAAAGAGAGCAGAAGAACGCAAGACGAUACAGAAGCACUAGCUUUGCUCUGCUGUUUGGUCCUCUCUCAGUACAGAUCUUGAGUGGACACCAGAGAUUACUAUAAGAAUGAAAAAUUAAGCAGUAAAGGAAUGACCAGCUCUCCACUCCCAAUAGCCCCCUUAGCAAUCCUGCAGGCAGACCACAAAGGGAUGAGAUGCCAUCUGAAGAAAGAUCACAAGGAGUCAGCCAGCCAGCACACGAUAGAAAUUGAUGUGGAGCUUGACCUCCUGCCUUGAUGAUUCAUUAAGAUCCUUCUCCCCUUUUCCCUUUAAAAACUGCCACGGCUGACAUUAAAAAGAAUGAAGUAAUGCCAUUUGCAGCAACAUAGAUGGACCUACAGAUUGUCAUACUAAGUGAAGUAAGUCAGACAGAGAAGGAGAAGUAUCAUAUGACAUCCUGGAAUCUAGAAAGAAUUGAUACAAAUGUACUUAACAAAACAGAAACAGACUCACAGACUUAGGAACAAACUUAUGGUUGCUGAUGGGGGAAGAAUGGGGGGAAGAGAUAAUCAGGAAGUUUGGGAUGGACACGUACACACCGCUGUGUUUAAAAUGGAUAACCAACAAGCACCUGCUGUACAGCACGGGGAGCUCUGCUCAUGGUCCUGUGGCCACCUGGAUAGGAGGGGAGUCUGGGGGAGAAUGGAUACAUGUAUAUGUGUGGCUCAGUCCCUUCACUGUUCACCUGAAACUAUCACAAUAUUGUUAAUUGACUAUACUCCAAUACAGAAUAAAAAGUUAAAAACAACUCACGGCUGAGCAGAAUCUUAGGCCUUGGUCUCAGGACAUGAGUCCGCCUUCUCCUCAGAUUGCCGACUUUUCUGUUUGAAGCAGCUUUCCUUUCUACCAACACUUGCCCCUUGAGUAUUGGCUUUUGAGUGGCGAGUAGCCAAACCUGAGUCUGGUAACAGCAGAUGCAGCUGAAAGUUGUUGAAUCCAGAUAAAGAAAUAAGCAUGUCAUUUAGAGUUAUGACGGUAACUGCAAUAAUACUGAGAAUCUUUGCUGCGAGGAGGCAAUGGGAAAAUGGAGAGAAAAUGUUCCUUUUCAUCUUGUAUCUUUUUACACAGUUGGAACCUGAAUAAUUUUUUCAAGAAUAGUGUGGCCAUGUUUGUAAUCAUGGUGAUAAUGAGGAGAGGCAACAGUUCAGAAAAUAGAUCAUUUGUGAAGCCUCUUUGGGUUAGAAUGGAUAGUUGGAAGUCUAAGAUGGUUUUUCUUGUCUAAAAAUGAAGGUCAUGAGCCAAUGUUUCAUUGAAACUGUGGAUUCCAGUGUGAGGAGGAAUUCAGUUGGGGGCAGUCUGGGAAUAAGAUUCCUCAGAGCCUCCAAGACGGUUUUAGAAGAGAUAUCUUCAGAUGCGUUCUCUGAACUUUAGUAUCCAAAGGGGUGUGACUCACAUGCAGCCAAUUCAGAAAGAGGGUGGGGAAAGUUAGUAGUGGACCUGGCCGGGACUCUGAACAUUUAAUCUGAAGGUUAAUGUGGUGAAGAUAGGCGGGCUCAAGUAAUGAGACUGAAUUCAUACCCUAUUAAUAGAGCGUAUGGCACAGAAGCACCACACAGCAGGCCAUGGCUGAGCUUUGGAGGGUGUGAUGGGGAGAGGAGGGCCUUCUUGACACCCACAGGGCAGAAGCACCCCACACACAGCAGUGGGGGCUGGAGUUAUCCCAGCAGAAGUUGAGGAGUCUUCCCUUCAGACGUUGCCAAGCUUUGCUAUCAUCCCAAAGGUCCUCUCCUCAUUUGCGUUUCAUUCCUCCUCCUCCUCCCCUUCCUUCUCCUCCCUUCUCACAUCCUAAACGCUUACAGAGAGGAGAUGAGCAGCCUUAUUCACCUACAGGUUGAACUUGCAGCUACAGUGCUUGCCUGAGAAGUCUGGAGGCAAAUCAACGUGAACAUCCAGUGAUAAGGGACCGAAGGCCUGAAUGUAGCUCAGAGCAAUGUGAGCCACCCAGGUGCUCCCUGAGUGGCUGGACAAUCCAGACACAACACUCUUUCACAGGAGGCCAAGGUCAACCUGCAAGACAAGGGCCUCAGCUCAUCCUCCUCUCGUUGGGAAAAUACAUGUUCUCACCCUGAAUCUACAAGAUACUCAUGCUCGAUUCAGAAUGCUUACAUAGCUUACUUCCUCCUGGGCCCUGAUGCCAAUGGACAGAGGGCUCUGCUCUCCCAGACUUCCUUCUACAGAACACUCCAUUGGCUUGAUUAUUUUAAUUA